rnacentral:rRNA from 1 species
GGUGUGAUUCUCUUGGCAGUGGCAAAGAUCGGUGUAGCUCUGGCGAAUGAAGCAACGAACCAGGCUACUUUACAUUUCAAUAACUUUAUAACACGGCUAACAGAGCUUCAAGGAAGCAUGGGUCACAUCAGAAGGGAGCUCAGGUUGAUGCAUGAAUAUCUUGGCCGAAUGGACGUGCAGAAUCGCAACAAUCAGACAUAUUAAAUCUGGGGUGGAGGAGUGAGAAUGUUUGUUCAUGGGAUUGAGGACAUUGUGGAUGAGUAUUUGCAACUUGUUGGUCAGAAACAUGACAGUGGAUGGAGUGCCUAUCUAAAGAAAGGAUUCAAACAACCAAAUGUUUUCUUCUCUUUAAACAGGGUAGCUUCUUUGGUUAAGGAAGCGGAGGUCAAUCUUGUGCACCUGUUCCAGGCUAAAGAACGAUGGGUGCUAAUGGUAGAUAGUGGGUAUAUGAAUGACUAA